AUUUAAAAAUUGAGAGAGUUUUAUAUUAUAUUUUUAAGUUAAGGGACUAUGGUGUUACAAUCUCAUAAGUUUAGGGAUAGUAGUUCAAAUUUAUCCAUUUUUUAGCACAAAAAGGUGAGAGAGGCUUAAAGGGUAUAGGGCCCUUGUGUUUUCAUACCAUAUUUGUUUUCUCAACCUUAAUAGAAGAAGGAGAUGGCAGAGCGGGGACUAAGAACCUUAGGCAGUAAUGAA
rnacentral:misc_RNA from 1 species